GCAAACUUGGUCAUUUAGAGGAAGUAAAAGUCGUAACAAGGUUUCCGUAGGUGAACCUGCGGAAGGAUCAUCGUGGAGGGGGGGGGGUUUCUCCCACCAACCUUGUGUGAACUGUGUCGUGUGGUGUUGGUGUGCCGCGAGGCGACCAGCAAUAUUAUCUCCCGUGGUUAACCUCUGCCUAAAAAUAUCCACACAUGCAAACAACUUUUAACAAUGGAUCUCUUGGCUCUCGCAUCGAUGAAGAACGCAGC
rnacentral:misc_RNA from 1 species